AAAUUACGCCUUCAUGAAGCUGGAAUUGCUAGUAAUGGCAGGUCAGCAUACUGCCGUGAAUAACGUUCCCGGGGCCCUUGUACACACCGCCCGUCACACCAUGAGAGUUGGAAAUACCCGAAGCCUGUGAGCUAACUUAAAGAGGCAGCAGUCGAAGGUAGAGCCAAUGAUUGGGGUGAAGUCGUAACAAGGUACC
rnacentral:rRNA from 1 species